CAUAGAUAGGAUCCAUCUGGAAGAUAAUCUUGGUUUUAUUGCCGCGCACGUCGACCCAGUUCGGUGUUCAUAGUCCAGACAGUCUUCACGCUUCCUUCUCAUGUCCCUCUGCUUCUCGACCAUCUCUCGCCUCUCCAACGGCCUUUCGCAGCCUCUCUCUGCAGCUGUGGCGGCCUCUCCUCUGCCCUCUCCGACGGUUUAACAUUUACUCUCCAAGCCUCUUCUUCCGGCUUUUCCGCAGUUGCCAAGUUCAGUUCAGUUCGUUUUUUCUAUUGAAAUCCACAGUGUUGCUAGGACUCAGAAAGAGAGACUAGGAAAUGGAGAAGAAGGAAAAAACUCAACCUCAUCAUCAGAAGAAGCCAGUGCAUCUCUUUUACUGCGCAGACUGUGAAUACCUUGCCCGUAAAGUCGCUGCUCACUCUGACCUCAUUACUCUCCAAUCCAUCAACGGGAGGAAUUUUGAUGUGGAUUUCCAAACCUUUAUAUAAACAAUGCACAAGAAAUGCGAGGUGAACGUGUUGCCUUUCUUGUGUCAUUCAGUUCUCCAGGAGUCAUAUAUGCGUUUCCACGACUGUUUGUUGCUUCCUUCACGUUAGUUUUACCAUUCUUUCCAACUGGCUCCUUUGAGCAAAUGGAAGAAGAAGGGAAUGUUGCAACUGCAUUUACAAUGGUGAGGAUAUUAUCGAAUAUUCCCAUAUCAAGGGGUGGCACCACUAGUCUAGUCAUUUAUGACAUUAAUGCUCUACUGGUUUUUUGCCAUUAUCUUUUAUUAUUGUUACUAUUAUAAUAUAACUGGGAAACUGGUAUUCUACUUUUUCCUUUAUUGUAGUGCUCUACACUCAAAUAUUUUUAAUCGCUGUUACAUUAUCUUUUUAGCAAAUCAUGUCUAAGUGAGUUUUUAUAUAUACCAAAACACCAAAGCUGAGAAGUUACCUGUUAGGCAAGUUUUUAGAAUUUAUUAUAGCGAGUUUCCAUAUUCUAUUCAAUCUUUUUGGUCUCAGUGGACAGUUUGGUUGGAAUUCCUUUUAUGUGAAAUGCUAAAAUUAUCUACUUCUAUUGCAUUGGUAUGGUAGUAGCCUAUUGUCUAUGUGUAAAUAUGUUAUAAUUUUAGCUUAUGUACCAGAACACCAAUGCUGAAAAUUUUCUUGUUAGGCUAGUUUUUGAAAUGUAUUAUAGCAGAUCUUCAUAUUCUAUUAAAUCUUUCUGGUUUCAGUGAACAGUGUGGUUGGAAUUCCUUUCUCUUUGGCAUCUUUUUAUUAUAGCAAGUUCUUUGGCUAGUUUUUAAUUUCUUUCUAUUACAGCAAGUUCUUUGGCAUCUUGAACCUGAAAGGCACUAUGAUCACCAUUGUUGAGAGGAUUUUUAAUAAAAAAAUGGUGAAAAUAUUAUUGGAUUAUUACUUAGGAAGUGAGGGUUGGACAUGUCAUGAAAAACAUUGCAGUUCAUCAUCUCAUAGAAUUUCAUACAUAGGAAGUUCUUUGAAAAUAUCUUAAGAAGGUAAGUUCUUUGGUCAUUUUAGUUAUAAAUUGCUAUUAUUAUGUUGGAUCAAUUUACACUGUACUAGAUUUUAAGUUUUCACUGCAUGCCUUAGGUGAUUUUAAUUUAUGGAACUAAGACCUUCCUAACUUUGGCAAAAUUCAUUCAAAUCCUUACUUUUUCAAAAGUGGAUUGAAUGGUUCUCAAUUUGUUAAUUUCAUAGCACUUCAGUUCUUCUAUUAAAAUAUCAUGCACUUUAGACCUAAGAUAGUACUUUGAGUAACAUUUUAAUUAAUCCAUGAUUUUUCAAUUCAAACUACUUUGUUCCUAGAAAGUCAAAAGAUGAGGGGCUAAAACAUUAUUUCAUCUAAAUGGUAGAGGGACUAGAAAGUUAUUUUGCUUAAAAGGUGAUGGUUUAGAAUGUUAAUUGGAAUGAAUGAAGUCUGUAUUUCUUCAAAAUUCAAUGACUAUUUAAUUCAUUUAUCAAAAACUGAGGGUACCAGUGUGAAUUUUGCUAAAUGUUGGGGCUUUUGUUAUUUACCCUUUAAUAUAUUCUUUACUGGGUUUGCUUUUUGCCUUAUGUCAACAUAUAACCCCUGACCACAUAUUUAGCCCUUAAGAGCAUGCCCAAAUUGUUCUCGUGUCAUCUUCUUUUGUAAGCCUUAGAACAUAUUCUUAGUGUUUGAAGUUACUGUUGAUAUUUGUUGUCAAGUGACAAGUCUCGUCUCUCUCUUUUCUUCUUCUUCUUCUUCUAUUCCUUUUUUUUCCACCUAUAUAUAUAUGUGUGCAUGAAAGAUUUUAUUUUGCGGACCAGGUUUUGCCUUUGUUCGAGACUGGAAUUCCUCUGCUAAAGUAACGUCUUCACCAGCUUCCUGACUCUGAUAGGGUUUGUUGCAUAACAAUGUUGCUUGUUUCUGCCAAUUGCAUAACAAUGUUGCUUGUUGAUAAGCGGCUUUUGUUGGGUUUCUUUUGUUGUGAAUAUAACUCUUCUAUUUCCUUAAGAAUUUCUUAGCCCAAUAGGAAUAGCUCAGUUGCUGUAUCAUGUAUUUCUCCUAUUUAAUAGCAUUAUCUUUCAGAUAGUUGUUGCAUUUCCAGAUGAUGGAGCACAAUUCCCAUGGUUGGUUCAGUACUUUGCUUAUGUAGACUAAGUAUUUUUAUACCCCAAUUGUUGCAUGGUCUCACUAAUUCAUGUUGUUGAGUUUUAGGUGGUGUGCAUUGUGCACAAAGGUUCGCAAAGGUGAUAAGAGAAUAGUUCGACUAAAGAAGGGAAAUCUUGCUGAUUGUCAUGUGGCCAUUGUUGAUGAUUUGGUCCAAUCUGGAGGAACCCUUAUUGAGUUUCAGAUACUCAUCAUCUGUUAAAACACAUCAUAUCCCAAAAUUUUUCUUUUUUAGAGAGGUUACUAAAUGUAAUUGUAGCAGAGAAUUUCUUCUAUGCCUUUCUUGUGUUUGCAUUCUUUUGAAUAAAGGAAAAUUGCUUAUUCUUGGCUA